rnacentral:rRNA from 1 species
CCUACGGGAGGCAGCAGUGGGGAAUAUUGCACAAUGGGGGAAACCCUGAUGCAGCAACGCCGCGUGAGCGAUGAAGGCCUUCGGGUCGUAAAGCUCUGUCCUAAGGGAAGAAUACUGACGGUACCUUAGGAGGAAGCCCCGGCUAACUACGUGCCAGCAGCCGCGGUAAUACGUAGGGGGCUAGCGUUAUCCGGAAUUACUGGGCGUAAAGGGUGCGUAGGCGGCCCUUCAAGGCAGAGGUGAAAGGCUACGGCUCAACCGUAGUAAGCCUUUGAAACUGUAGGGCUUGAGUGCAGGAGGGGAGAGUGGAAUUCCCAGUGUAGAGGUGAAAUGCGUCGAUAUUAGGAGCAAAACCAGUUGAGACGGCGGCUGUGUGGAAUGUAUCUGACGCUGAGGAACGAAAGCGUGGGGAGCGAACAGGAUUAGAUACCCCUGUAGUC